rnacentral:tRNA from 1 species
CGGGGCGUAGCUUAGUUGGAAAAGCGCCAGGCUGGGGGUCUGGAGAUCGCUGGUUCAAGUCCAGUCGCCCCGA